GGGUCACCAGCACACAUCUGUACACAUAGGUUUCUGAAGAGAAACAAGUGUAGCGCCACAAGUGUGCCUCAAGGAAUUUAGCCAGACAGAAGUGAGACAGAUGAGGCAAACAGAUGAACAGCAAAGAAGUGCCUUGGUUUCUCUAACAGGGAGUGUGAAAACUGUGGAAUACGUGGAGCAAAGUCUUGGCUGCAUAGAACAAGAGGUGGAGGACUUCUACCUUAGUGUUAGUGAAAGCAGGAAAAUUAUGCGUUCUACUUCGAUAAACUGAUUUGACCUAAAUGAUAUUUCUGAUUACUAUAAGUGCAUUUUCC
ensembl:lncRNA